rnacentral:rRNA from 1 species
ACUCCUACGGGAGGCAGCAGUGGGGAAUUUUGGACAAUGGGCGCAAGCCUGAUCCAGCAAUGCCGCGUGAGUGAAGAAGGCCUUCGGGUUGUAAAGCUCUUUUGUCAGGGAAGAAACGGACUUUUCUAAUACAGAGGUCUAAUGACGGUACCUGAAGAAUAAGCACCGGCUAACUACGUGCCAGCAGCCGCGGUGAUACGUAGGGUGCAAGCGUUAAUCGGAAUUACUGGGCGUAAAGCGUGCGCAGGCGGUUUUGUAAGUCUGUCGUGAAAUCCCCGGGCUCAACCUGGGAAUGGCGAUGGUGACUGCAAGGCUAGAGUUUGGCAGAGGGGGGUAGAAUUCCACGUGUAGCAGUGAAAUGCGUAGAUAUGUGGAGGAACACCGAUGGCGAAGGCAGCCCCCUGGGUCAAAACUGACGCUCAUGCACGAAAGCGUGGGGAGCAAACAGGAUUAGAUACCCUGGUAGUCCACGCCCUAAACGAUGUCUACUAGUUGUCGGGUCUUAAUUGACUUGGUAACGCAGCUAACGCGUGAAGUAGACCGCCUGGGGAGUACGGUCGCAAGAUUAAAACUCAAAGGAAUUGACGGGGACCCGCACAAGCGGUGGAUGAUGUGGAUUAAUUCGAUGCAACGCGAAAAACCUUACCUACCCUUGACAUGGCUGGAAUCCCCGAGAAAUUGGGGAGUGCUCGAAAGAGAACCAGUACACAGGUGCUGCAUGGCAGUCGUCAGCUCGUGUCGUGAGAUGUUGGGUUAAGUCCCGCAACGAGCGCAACCCUUGUCAUUAGUUGCUACGAAAGGGCACUCUAAUGAGACUGCCGGUGACAAACCGGAGGAAGGUGGGGAUGACGUCAAGUCCUCAUGGCCCUUAUGGGUAGGGCUUCACACGUCAUACAAUGGUACAUACAGAGGGCCGCCAACCCGCGAGGGGGAGCUAAUCCCAGAAAGUGUAUCGUAGUCCGGAUUGUAGUCUGCAACUCGACUGCAUGAAGUUGGAAUCGCUAGUAA